rnacentral:rRNA from 1 species
UACGUAGGGUGCAAGCGUUAAUCGGAAUUACUGGGCGUAAAGCGUGCGCAGGCGGUGAUGUAAGACAGCUGUGAAAUCCCCGGGCUCAACCUGGGAACUGCAUUUGUGACUGCAACGCUGGAGUGCGGCAGAGGGGGAUGGAAUUCCGCGUGUAGCAGUGAAAUGCGUAGAUAUGCGGAGGAACACCGAUGGCGAAGGCAAUCCCCUGGGCCUGCACUGACGCUCAUGCACGAAAGCGUGGGGAGCAAACAGG